CUACCUUGAAUUGUCGGAAGAAAGUAAUAGUAGUGACAGUGAUAUACCUUUAAGUGUUUUGAAAAACAGUAAAAAAAGACUAAAGCUUGGACGUGUAAGUGAUGCGGCAAAAUUAUUGAGAAAUCAUACUUGUGAGAAGGGUAAUACAUGUGGCUGCAAAAGAUUUCGUGGUUUUGAGGUUAUGGUCGUGGUGAAAAAAGACGAAAAAUCAUUCAAAACUUUAAUAGGUUAGAAAAUAGAAAUAGUCAAAACAGCCAUUUAUGCGGGUUAAUCGGGAUUAAGAAUGUUAGUAGAAGAAGACUUAGACAAAACGAGAACACAGCAAGGCUUAGAGAUAACUAGUAUACGUUUAAAGUAAGAAUUAAACUAGAUUGCGAGGGCAAGAAUUAAACUAGAUGCAGAUAUGCAAAAGUAACUAUUAUUACCAAUGGCGUCUAUUAUAAUGUCCGUGCCAAACAUGAUGCGCUACUUCAGAAUGAAGCGGCGUUCAAACCUAAUUCUUGUGGACUUGGAUCGUUUUUCGGUACACCGAAGAGAAGGAAUCUUCAAUUAUUUUUUUUCCAACAUUCUGUUUAAUUUUUGAAGAUUUUUAGUAGUCCCUAAGUAUUCCUC